AGUGAACGCUGGCGGUAGGCCUAACACAUGCAAGUCGAACGGCAGCACAGUAAGAGCUUGCUCUUACGGGUGGCGAGUGGCGGACGGGUGAGGAAUACAUCGGAAUCUACUUUUUCGUGGGGGAUAACGUAGGGAAACUUACGCUAAUACCGCAUACGACCUACGGGUGAAAGCAGGGGAUCUUCGGACCUUGCGCGAUUGAAUGAGCCGAUGUCGGAUUAGCUAGUUGGCGGGGUAAAGGCCCACCAAGGCGACGAUCCGUAGCUGGUCUGAGAGGAUGAUCAGCCACACUGGAACUGAGACACGGUCCAGACUCCUACGGGAGGCAGCAGUGGGGAAUAUUGGCCAAUGGGCGCAAGCCUGAUCUAGCCAUACCGCGUGGGUGAAGAAGGCCUUCGGGUUGUAAAGCCCUUUUGUUGGGAAAGAAAAGCAGCAGGUUAAUACCCCGCUGUUCUGACGGUACCCAAAGAAUAAGCACCGGCUAACUUCGUG
rnacentral:rRNA from 1 species